rnacentral:sRNA from 1 species
AGCCCUAGGAUAUCCGCGGUAGUUUGCC